UCAGGUCCUGGUGCUCCAUUUACAGCCAACACUCCUGGUACUCACACACUGUCUGUUGGACUGCAUUCAUCCCCUCCUCAGGUCCAAGUGGCUUCCUUUACCGGCACGGCGUAUGUGAUGUCAUGCUGCAACUGCUGCUGAAGUGAAUAGGAGCCAUGCAAAGGAGCAGACUCUGCAUCUUGAAGACAAGAUGAGAGGGGGCUGAAGGGACAAGAGCUGGUUACCAUGGCCCUGGGCGCCGGACGAGUGAUGUCACUUCUGGUGCGAUGAGUCCAGACGUGUCCGGAAGUGUCCGCUGCAGAAGGCGGUCGCAGGGAAUGGGAGCCCGCUGUGACAGACGGGGAGGGGGCAAAGGCAAAAUAUUUGGAAGUGGCAAGAAGAAUGAAGGCAUAUGAGGAUAACAAAUAUGAAGCCUGGAAAGAGAGCACAGAACAGAUCCUGCACUCACUGUUGAAAAGAAGUUUACUCAUUAACAUGCAUGUACCAGCUGUUAACCAUGCAAACUUGAAUUUAGCUGAUGUGGUAAAA